UACAGAGGGGGCAAGCGUUGUUCGGAAUUACUGGGCGUAAAGCGCGUGUAGGCGGAUGAGCAAGUCUGCUGUGAAAGCUCCUGGCUUAACCGGGAGUGGUCGGUGGAAACGGCUCGUCUGGAGGACGGUAGAGGUAGGUAGAAUUCCCGGUGUAGUGGUGAAAUGCGUAGAUAUUGGGAGGAACACCAGUGGCGAAGGCGGCUACCUGGACCGGUUCUGACGCUGAUGCGCGAAAGCGUGGGUAGCAAACAGG
rnacentral:rRNA from 1 species